rnacentral:lncRNA from 1 species
GAAAGUUUUGAGUUUUUGCGGAACAGUCCCCCAGAACUCUCCGUUCUCUCUCUUCGGUUUCUCUUCAGAACCCUCGGGUUCCGACCGACCCGACCCGGACCCAUCUCCCUCCUCCGACGUCUUCCGGCCACGACCCGGCCCUCUCCGUGAUCGCCGUGCUCCGCCAAGUCGCCCUCUGCCAUCGAUUUGCUCCGCCGCUGCCCCGAAAGCUGGAUCGAAGGAGCCACAGUUCCGAUCGGUGACCCGGCCGGACUUCCCGUUUUCCGGCAUCUCCUCGGCCGAUCCUUCCCAUUUUCGUGAUCUCCUCCUCAUGCUGAUCAUCCCUAUAUUAAUCCAAACUUCAAAGCUUGAUCUAGGACGAUCUAGGCCAAACCAGACUUAGCUCCAGUACUUGACGGUUUGAGUUGACGAGCGUUUGGAAUAUCGUUAUAAUUGACUUUUU